rnacentral:lncRNA from 1 species
CCGGUGCUCAACAACCACUACCGGUACACUGCCUAACCAGUACCGGUACCACCGAGUCAGUACCUCAACUCGAGAGCAGCUCAAUUUGUCCUUAUAUUGGGUAUCGAUACCACCGGUACUACCGGUACCCCAAUCCCUAGUACCGGUACUCAAUGCAAAUUCUACAGUUCCAGCAAAUUUAACACUUCGGAGUCCAUUUUCGCGCCCAAUUUGCGCCGAAAAUACUUAAAUACUCCCGAAACUCACUUCUAACCAUCCGACGCCUUCAAAGCAACUCAGGGACUUCGCGUACCACCCACAUACCAUACUUUGUUCAAUUUGAUCAAAGUUAGCAUU